rnacentral:rRNA from 1 species
UACGGAGGAUCCGAGCGUUAUCCGGAUUUAUUGGGUUUAAAGGGUGCGUAGGCGGCCUAUUAAGUCAGGGGUGGAAGACGGUAGCUUAACUAUCGCAGUGCCUUUGAUACUGAUGGGCUUGAAUAUACUUGAGGUAGGCGGAAUGUGACAAGUAGCGGUGAAAUGCAUAGAUAUGUCACAGAACACCAAUUGCGAAGGCAGCUUACUAAGGUAUGAUUGACGCUGAGGCACGAAAGCGUGGGGAUCAAACAGG